UACGAAGGGGGGCUAGCGUUGCUCGGAAUCACUGGGCGUAAAGCGCACGUAGGCGGGUCGUUAAGUCGGGGGUGAAAUCCUGGAGCUCAACUCCAGAACUGCCUUCGAUACUGGCGAUCUUGAGUCCGGGAGAGGUGAGUGGAACUGCGAGUGUAGAGGUGAAAUUCGUAGAUAUUCGCAAGAACACCAGUGGCGAAGGCGGCUCACUGGCCCGGUACUGACGCUGAGGUGCGAAAAGCGUGGGGAGCAAACAGG
rnacentral:rRNA from 1 species